rnacentral:tRNA from 1 species
AUGCCUGUGGCCCAACGGUUAAGUGCUUGUGGCUGCUAACCAAAAGGUUGGUGGUUUGAACCCACCCACCGAUA